rnacentral:lncRNA from 1 species
ACUGUCCAUCUCAGCUGGGAUUGGGAUUGGGGGCUAUUGAUCUCUGAGUCCUCAAUGAAGGAGUGGAAUUUGAUUUCCUAAGAAAAGACAAAAAAUAGCUGGUUCAUCACUGCAACAAGCUGAUCACCAUCGGGACCCCUGGUCUUUUCUACUUUUUCUAACUGCCCUCUCCCUGCAGGAAAAAAAGCCAAUCUUCUCAAGAAUCUUACUUCUCCGCAGAGGCUCUGGCCACAUUCAGACACCAGUUCCUGAGAGAUCUGUGCAGGAGAGCCCAGCUUCUCAGCACUGUCUGUAGAUCCUCAGCUCUGAGAGCUCGGCUGCCUUCCAUUGGACAACAUCUGGUAGCAGGAAGAGCUGAAGCAGCACUUGGUAUCCAGGCAGUGUGGGACAGGGUUCAGAGACAGCGAAAGGUGGUCUGCUACCAUCAGCUUGGCAUCUCUGAGCUCCAAAGGGAGGAAUCCGAUUGAGAUCUUCAAGUGCAGUUCUCUCUCUGUGCCCAGUGUUUGUCUGUGGGAGUCUGCAUCUAGAGCCCUCUGAAAGGUAUCAAUCGGCCACUCCAAACACCAUCCAAUAAGAAAUACAAGAAGCACUCUGAAGAAGUCGUUGCUCCUAGACAUACCCAGACAUCCAUUUCAGCCAAAAUAAUUGAAAAAGACCCAUGAAGAGGACAUUUGUUUUUGUGCUUGGUGGCAGUCAGUUCAUGGUCUUUGACAUGACACAUUCCCCAGAGUCGUGAAGACAGACAGUUCCUAUACAAAGAGCCCUAGAGAUAUUUUUAAACCAGAGAAGAUGUCCAAGUCCUUCCAGGAUAUUUCCAAAUACUUCUCUGAGGAAGAAUGGGAAAGUCUGACCAAAUGGCAGAAAAGUGCCUACGUGUUUAUGAAAAGAAACUACAUCAGAAUGACAGGCCUAGGGGUCACAGUCAACAAACCAGUUUUCAUGCGUGGAAAGGAUCAGAUCACAGAAUUCCUAUUGAAGGAAUCUGAUGAAGGUCUUGGUCAUGCAAAUGAAGGUGAACAUUCUAAGUGGACAUUUGGCAUGGCACACACAAAAGACCUAAAGAUCCAUAAGGAGACAGCAUGGAAAAGAAAUUGCAGAAAGAGAGUGCCAGGUGCACAUGGCUUAGGAAGGGCUCGGAGAUGCCUGCAUACCCAAGCAAGAGAGAUGGCAACAGGACCCAAGCGGAGUCAUGAGAGUUCCAGAAAAAAAGAAAGAUUUCGGAAAAGAAAGCAUAUCCUAAUUUUUGAUGUGAGCAGUGAUGAUGAAGAAAAUUACUAACCUAGAAAAGCUGGUGAGAAGAAUUUGAUGAUCAUUCAGAAUCAUGGAAACAACAACUCCGGUAUCCUAAAUAUCAAAUGAAAGAAAAUUUUCCCACAGUGAA